rnacentral:lncRNA from 13 species
GGCUGGUUUUGAACUUCUGACCUCAGGUGAUGCACCUGCCUCCGCCUCCCAAAGUGCUGAAAUGAUAGGCAUGAGCCACCUCGCCUGGCCUUGUGUAUUUCUGUUCAAAAUGUGUUGAGUAACUUUCAUGGCCUAGCCUGUGGUAUAUCCUGGAGGAAGUUUGUGUGUAUAACAGUGCAUAUGCUUCCAUAUCUUAGAUUCCAUUUCGGAUACUUCCAUUGGGACUCUGCAUCCCUGUGCUGGAACUCAAGUGAACACUUGGCUCAACAUCCAUUGCUCUUCUCUAGAAAUUCAGCCCAAUUCUUAUGGUUUCAUAUAAGGACUGUGUGUCCCUGUGCUGGAACUCAGGUGAACGCUUGGCUCAACAUCCAUUGCUGUUCUCUAGAAAUUCAGCCCAAUUCUCUUGGUGAAAGAUAAGGCUGGAGCGCAAUGGCGCGAUCUCGGCUCACCAGAAACAUCGCCACCCACGUUGAAGCAAUUCUCCUGCCUCACCCUUCCAGGUAGCUGGAAUUACGGGCACCCACCACCACACUCAGGUGAUUACUGUGCUUUUAGUAGAGACAGGAUUUCACCAUGUUGGCCAGCCUGGUCACGAGCUCCCGACUUCAGGUCAUCCACCCACCUCAGCCUUCCAAAGUGCUAGGAUUACAGGCAUGAGUCACCGUGCCUAGCCUCAAGUGGUCCUCUUGAGUCAGCCUAGACUGUGAUCUAUCCUGGAGGAUGUCUGUGUGUGUGACGGUGCAUAUUCUUCAACAUUUUCCAUUCCAUUUUGGAUGCUCCCAUCAGGACUGUGUGUCCCUGUACUGGAUGGAACUCAGGUGGACACUUGGCUCAACAUCCAUUGCUCUUCUCUAGAAAUUCAGCCCAAUUCUCUUGGUGGAAGAUAAGGUAUGUCUAGUGGGCAUUGCUUUUUCUCUUUGGGGACAAAACUGAGGAGGAGGAUUGCCCCUUGAUGAACAAGGCUAACCUGCUGAGCCUUUGAAGCAAGAAGCUAGAGAUGGUCCUUUUAGAGGUUUAUGUUCUGGAUUCCAGAAAAUACGCAGAC